AUCAGAGAGCUUUAAUACAAUCAUCCAAUCAGGAGACAGACUCAAGAUCUGACCCUAAUUCAAACUGAUUGGCGCGGCUCGAUGAAUCAAUUGCCACUUUCAACCAGAGGUUUAUUUUUCCUCUCCCCUUCGCAAUGAAAAUAAUAAAAAUAAACCUCUGGAACCAGGGUACAUCAUCCGCUACAUUGAAAGAUGAGUACUUGGCUAUUUUUUGGCAGGGGUAACGAAAUAUAUCGGCUGUUCUCUAAGUGUUUCUUAAUGCGUUGGCCAUC
rnacentral:lncRNA from 1 species